GAUGAACGCUGGCGGCGUGCUUAACACAUGCAAGUCGAACGAUGAAGCCCAGCUUGCUGGGUGGAUUAGUGGCGAACGGGUGAGUAACACGUGAGUAACCUGCCCUUAACGCUGGGAUAAGCCUGGGAAACUGGGUCUAAUACCGGAUAGGAGCGGCCACCGCAUGGUGGGUGUUGGAAAGAUUUAUCGGUUUUGGAUGGACUCGCGGCCUAUCAGCUUGUUGGUGAGGUAAUGGCUCACCAAGGCGACGACGGGUAGCCGGCCUGAGAGGGUGACCGGCCACACUGGGACUGCGACACGGCCCAGACUCCUACGGGAGGCAGCAGUGGGGAAUAUUGCACAAUGGGCGCACGCCUGAUGCAGCGACGCCGCGUGAGGGAUGACGGCCUUCGGGUUGUAAACCUCUUUCAGUAGGGAAGAAGCGAAAGUGACGGUACCUGCAGAAGAAGCACCGGCUAACUACGUG
rnacentral:rRNA from 1 species